AACGAACGCUGGCGGCAGGCUUAACACAUGCAAGUCGAACGCCCCGCAAGGGGAGUGGCAGACGGGUGAGUAACGCGUGGGAAUCUACCCAGUUCUACGGAACAACUGAGGGAAACUUCAGCUAAUACCGUAUACGCCCUACGGGGGAAAGAUUUAUCGGAAUUGGAUGAGCCCGCGUUGGAUUAGCUAGUUGGUGAGGUAACGGCUCACCAAGGCGACGAUCCAUAGCUGGUCUGAGAGGAUGAUCAGCCACACUGGGACUGAGACACGGCCCAGACUCCUACGGGAGGCAGCAGUGGGGAAUAUUGGACAAUGGGCGCAAGCCUGAUCCAGCCAUGCCGCGUGAGUGAUGAAGGCCUUAGGGUUGUAAAGCUCUUCAGUGGGGACGAUAAUGACGGUACCCACAGAAGAAGCCCCGGCUAACUCGUG
rnacentral:rRNA from 1 species